CAAUCCUCCUCCCCUAGUAGAGGUUGAGCUAGUACAGGGUUCCACCUCACAACCAGUAACAGUCUAUUUCAGCACUUAAUCAGUACUACUGUAUGUUCCACUGUUUAAUAUGAGACAUUUGUGUUUGAGUCUCUGCAUUCUGACAGUACAAUGGCUUUUGAGUGGAUGUCAGCAGAUCAUACAAGUCCAUCAGGAACCAGAGGACCUGGUUCUUUCCCCUGGAUCAUCACUGAAGAUCUCCUGCUCUAUAACCGGAAUAAGUAAUCCAAAUCUCUACUGGUACCACUGGAAUGAAUCAACAGAGUUCACACUGGUGUUCACCUCAGUGGGUACUGGGGUGAUGAAUCCAGCCAGUAAGGGUCAGUUUAAAUCUCACAGACCUAAAGAUCUUCAGAUGGUUCUGGAGUCUGAAGCAGUGAGUGAGAUCGGCUCAGCAGUGUGGUACUGUGCAGCCAGAAGCCACAGUAUCCCAGUCUCAUCAGAGAGCUGUACAAAAACCACAACUGUUCAGUAGGCCUAGGACUACUGUCAAAUACAUCUUUUUGGAUGCAUUUCACAUGGUUAAGAUUACAGGACCUUAACUGAGCAAAGCAUGACUGUAAUUAAUGUAGUCAUGUGUUUCCAUCAUCAACAGUGAAUGCGAAUAAAUGAGUGUAGUGUGACAUUUUAGGGUGAGUGAGUCAACAGGAAGCAAGCAAACAAUUAAACAAGAAAUUCUGAUUUGUAACAGAGAUGAAAGUGUUUGUUUUUCUCACAGCUCAUAUUUGUUCCAGUGUUGCUUUUUUCCAAGCUACUGAUUUUCCCCUAU